CCCCUCACCGAAUUCCUUCCCCUCUUCAUAUCGCGACGCCACCCUCUCCUUCGCCGAACCCAUCUUUCCCGAGCACCUCACGAUGCCGCCCUCUCCACCCGUCCCUUCCCUCUUGCGAGUUUCCUGACGUUGUCGGCCUCUCCUCCUCACAACAGCACCAGAGUCGAGCCCUAGCCGCCGGCUCUCUCCCUCACGCGGGCAGCACAGCGACGAUCCUCCUCCAUUGACGGAGCUUGUCCAGUGGAUGUUCUUCCUCUUGAAUCGCCGACCGAGGCCCCUUCUCCACCGAUCUCGCUCCUUCGUCGGCGCAAAGCCACCACAGCCAACUGCUAGUGGCCAACAUCUGUUGCUGUGGGUCGUCAUCAGAGCAGUGGCGACGCCGUUCUUUCCCUCCUAGCCGAGCCCUAGCCUCGAUUGGUGGAGGCCGAUGCUGAAUGGUAACAGGUAGAUGAUUCAUGGGUGCUUGGAGAGAUGUCGGCUGUCAGUCCUGGGUCUUGCAUUAUAUCGGUUUUAUUUUCGCUUUACUAUUUUUUUAGUAUACAGCGGUUUUAGUAUUGUAUGAAUUGGUCUGUGUUUGGAGUUUGAUUCAUGGUGUUUUGCUUUCGUGAUCUUGUGGUUGUGUAAGCCUAAUUGAAUAGUAAAAUUUAGUUGUGGAUUGUGGGGUUUCUCUUUGUUUUUCAGCUGUGUUUUUGAUACAGCCGUGUGGGCUUUUUAUACUGCGUGGUUGUUUUUUCCAUUUCUGUCUAGCCGAGUGGGUUGUAUCUUUUAAACUGCGAGGUUGUGUUCUUAUAUCUAGCCGUGUGGGUUGUGGAUUAUGUUUAUAUAUUGAGUAUGUAUGUAUCUAUUGCUUCAGAUUGUCACUGGUACAGGAGAGAUGUUGUCAAAAUUUUUCAGUAGGGACUUCUCUGGGGGCGUGACAAUUUAGUGAUAUCAGAGCCAAGUUAUGAUGCCUAUUUAGGAUGUCUUUUGUUUUUUGGUGUUUUAAAUUUUUGGUGUUUUGGAUUUUUGAGUUAAUCUGAUACCAAUUUUUGGUAUCAGAGCAUGGUUCCAGUCUACUGUUGGAUUUUGGUGUUUUUAAGAUUUUGAUCUUGUUGUGAUUUACAAUUUGUCGAGUUAAUCUGAUACCAAUUUAGUGGUAUCAGAACCAGUUUACGAUGUCUGUCAUUUUUUGUGUUCUGUAUUUUCGAGUUAAUCUGAUACCAAUUUAGUGGUAUCAGAGCAUGAUUCGAGUCAAAUGUUGGGUUUUACAUUUUUGGGAUUUCGAUCUUGUAAAGAUUUAUGAUUUUUUGAGUUAAUCUGAUACGAAUUUAGUGGUAUCAGAGCAAAGUUUUAUGAUGCCUAUUUUCGAUAUUUCGGUUGUUUUGUUUUCCCCUUGUAAAUUGAUUCCUCUAUAUGACCUUCAGGUUUUAGGACCAGGCAGCGGCAGGAAUCUCCAAGCUAUAGGAGGUAACAGGUAGAUGAUUCAUUGAUGCUUGGAGAGAUGUCGGCUGCCAGUCCUGGGUCCUGCGUUAUAUCGGUUUUAUUUCUGCUUUACUUUUUUUUUAGUAUACAGCGGUUUUAGUAUUGUAUGAAUUGGUCUGUGUAUGGAGUUUGAUUCAUGGUGUUUUUCUUUCGUGAUCUUUUGGUUGUGUAAGCCUAAUUGGUUAGUAAACUUUAGUUGUGGAUUGUGGGUUUU